GAUGAACGCUGGCGGCGUGCCUAAUACAUGCAAGUCGAGCGAAGCGGGGACGGGUGAGUAACAUGUGGAUAACCUCCUAUAAGACUGGGAUAACUUCGGGAAACAGGAGCAAAACCGAAUACUUAUAACUGGGUCCGCGCUGCAUUAGCUGGUUGGUAAGGUAACGGCUUACACGGGCAACGAUGCAUAGCCGACCUGAGAGGGUGAGCGGCCACACUGGAACUGAGACACGGUCCAGACUCCUACGGGAGGCAGCAGUAGGGAAUCUUCCGCAAUGGGCGAAAGCCUGACGGAGCAACGCCGCGUGAGUGAUGAAGGUCUUCGGAUCGUAAAACUCUGUUAGUAGGGAAGCGGUACCUAAUCAGAAAGCCACGGCUAACUACGUGCCAGCAGCCGCGGUAAUAC
rnacentral:rRNA from 1 species